GUACAGGACGAACGCUAGCGGACGGGCUUAAUACAUGCAAGUUUAGGGGUUCAGCAAUGGACACCGGCGGACGGGUGCGUAACACGUAUGCAACCUGCCCUUUACUGGAGGAUACUCCGGAGAAAUUCGGCACAACAUCCGUAUACUCAUACUUUCGCAUGGGAGAAUGAGGAAAGGUUACGGUAAAGGAUGGGCAUGCGUCUGAUUAGCUAGUUGGCGAGGUAACGGCUCACCAAGGCGACAAUCAGUAGCUGGUCUGAGAGGAUGAUCAGCCACACUGGCACUGAGAUACGGGCCAGACUCCUACGGGAGGCAGCAGUAGGGAAUAUUGGUCAAUGGGCGAAAGCCUGAACCAGCCACGCCGCGUGCAGGAAGAAGGUCCUCUGGAUUGUAAACUGCUUUUGCCAAGGGAUAAAGAGAGGCUAUACGCCUAAAUGAAGGUACUUGGUGAAUAAGCCACGGCUAACUACGUG
rnacentral:rRNA from 1 species